CUCACUUACCUUAUUCUCUGCUUGUGAUAUUUCAAAAUAUGCCUUUCUCCAAUUGUUUCCACUAUCAACAUAUUUAUUUAAUGUUGCAUUGUUGCCAGCCACCUCCUACUCCCUGUGCUGAGUUGUUGGAAAAUUAAAUGUUAACAUAUUUAAAGCUAGCUCUUCAUCUCUCUGUCACUGUCCUAACCCUCUCUCAUCCAUUUAAUGUUUAAGAAUCUAACAGGAAACACCAUCUAGAUACCCCAUGGAAACAUGCCACCUUCUUCACUAUUCUUUGUUUCUUCUUAAGCAUAAAUAUAUAACCUAGUCACGCAAAGUUUUACCUGCUUCUGCUUUCAGAGAAUAAUAUUUUCUAGUGAUCAUGGAUUGCAGUUAGUGUUACCAUGCAUGAGCAUGAGGGAACAUGCAUGAUGAUAUAAAGUGGUGGUCUGUGGUUAC